GACGAACGCUGGCGGCGUGCUUAACACAUGCAAGUCGAACGGUGAAGCGCCUUCCUUUUUGGUGGGUGUGGAUGAGUGGCGAACGGGUGAGUAACACGUGAGUAACCUGCCCCCUUCUUCUGGAUAACCGCAUGAAAGUGUGGCUAAUACGGGAUAUUCUGGGUCUGUCGCAUGAUGGGUCUGGGAAAGAUAUUGUUUCGGUGGGGGAUGGGCUCGCGGCCUAUCAGCUUGUUGGUGGGGUGAUGGCCUACCAAGGCGGUGACGGGUAGCCGGCCUGAGAGGGUGGACGGUCACACUGGGACUGAGACACGGCCCAGACUCCUACGGGAGGCAGCAGUGGGGAAUAUUGCACAAUGGGCGCAAGCCUGAUGCAGCGACGCCGCGUGAGGGAUGGAGGCCUGCGGGUUGUGAACCUCUUUCGCCAGUGAAGCAGGCCUGCCUCGUUUGUGGGUGGGUUGACAGUAGCUGGAGAAGAAGCGCCGGCUAACUACGUG
rnacentral:rRNA from 1 species